rnacentral:rRNA from 1 species
GACGAACGCUGGCGGCGUGCUUAACACAUGCAAGUCGAACGGAAAGGCCCUGCUUUUGUGGGGUGCUCGAGUGGCGAACGGGUGAGUAACACGUGAGUAACCUGCCCUUGACUUUGGGAUAACUUCAGGAAACUGGGGCUAAUACCGGAUAGGAGCUCCUGCUGCAUGGUGGGGGUUGGAAAGUUUCGGCGGUUGGGGAUGGACUCGCGGCUUAUCAGCCUGUUGGUGGGGUAGUGGCUUACCAAGGCUUUGACGGGUAGCCGGCCUGAGAGGGUGACCGGCCACAUUGGGACUGAGAUACGGCCCAGACUCCUACGGGAGGCAGCAGUGGGGAAUAUUGCACAAUGGGCGGAAGCCUGAUGCAGCAACGCCGCGUGCGGGAUGACGGCCUUCGUGUUGUAAACCGCUUUCGCCUGUGACGAAGCGUGAGUGACGGUAAUGGGUAAAGAAGCACCGGCUAACUACGUG